GUGCUCGCUUUGGCAGCACAUAUACUAAAAUUGAAACAAUACAGAGAAGAUUAGCAUGGGCCCUGCACAAGGAUGACAUGCAAAUUCAUGAAGCGUUCCAUAUUUUU
ensembl:snRNA U6 U6 spliceosomal RNA